rnacentral:rRNA from 1 species
CCGACGGGUGAGUAACACGUAUGCAAUCCACCUGUAACAGGGGAGUAACCCGGAGAAAUUCGACUAAUACCCAUAAUAUGGGCGCUCCGCAUGGAGAGUUCAUUAAAGAGAGCAAUUUUGGUUACAGACGAGCAUGCGCUCCAUUAGCCAGUUGGCGGGGUAACGCCCACCAAGGCGACGAUGGAUAGGGGUUCUGAGAGGAAGGUCCCCCACAUUGGAACUGAGACACGGUCCAA